AUCUAACCGAAAUCAGGGGUCUUAGUGCACAAUUCUCUCCUCCUGCUCCCGUCCACUCCGCUCGCGCAUUUCGCCGAACACCGUGGCUACCGCCGGCGCCGGCGCCGCAUCCGACGACCCCCCAAGUUGGGAUUCUUCCUCCAAAUGGCUCCAGUGCAACGGCUACUACGCACCGACCUCCGCGCGCGUCUGCCGCCGCGACUGCUUCGGCUUUUUGUUCCUCACUACCGCCGCCGCCGAGAGGAAGUCACUACAACAAUGUUCGAUCGUGAGGAGAAAUGUCUGGUUUAGGAUCUCUUGACUAUCAUCGAAUCAGGAAGGUUUGUACUGAUUUCGCAUCAUGUACUUCUUUCUUCACCAAGCACGUAUCCAUCGUUCAUAUGUAGUGAAUGCCUCUCUAGUCUCUACUGACUGUUUGUGGUACAUGGGCUAUCGGGCUUACACUUCAAACUAGUAUAAUUUACACACCAGAUUUUCAUAUAAAGAUCUGACGUGCCAAAGUGGACAACACAUGGUCCUUCUUGUUAUACUAUGUGUUAAAUUUCAUCAUUGUUGGCAUCUGGAAUAAUACUUUUUUUUAGAUAAGGGUAAUUUUUACCCGGCCUCUAUAUCCAACCAAAUAUAUGCAUCAUUUUUAAAUUGAGAACUUAGCUCUCAAAUAACCCAAUUCGGCAAUAAUACUGGAGACGGAUCCUUACAAUUCAGCAACUGUCUACGGUUAGGCUGACUGAAUCCUGCCAUGUACUGUGUGUUACAGUGAUGCAUGUUCUAUCUGCUGUUUUCCACACCUUCUUUUCCAGUGAGUGUUCAGGGAUCAAUUCCUGGACAUGGUACACCGUACAGUAGCAGGGUAUAAGCCAGAGCCCCAGGAACUGAAAGUGCGCAGAGCAUGAUUCUCGCAGAAAAGAAACAACCAUAUCUUGUUGAUUUGUAGCAGAUUGAGUUCUGCAGAAAGCGCAAGGCUUCUUGCUUGGAAGCACGGCAAAGGUUCUUCCUUUGACAGUGGUAACAAUGCCCAAACAUAAGGUGACAAAAUCAUUCAGUGAGCAGAGGGCUACAGCAGUACAGGUCAGCCUUUCCAGUGCUGUGUAGUGUUACAUAUUCUCUGUUCUGUCAUCAUCAAGUAUUGCUCAGUGCUCACUACUCACUACUAGGCUAUAUUUUUGCUCCUAUUUCUUGAUCAGGAUGGAGUGAUCGUUUUGUUUCUAGAAUCAUCGGAACCAAGUGAUUAGUCAAAAAAUUGUUCCCGGAUAUAGUAUGCUUGAACUGAGGGGCUGUUCAGAUUGAUGCCAUUUCAAACCAUACAAUUUUUGGUAAAGUUGUCAAAGAUAUGCAUACAUUUAGUUUUUUUAAUCAAACUAUGGUAAAUACAUAAGAAAUCCUGCCAAAAUUUUGGUAAUAUUGCCAGCAUUUUAUUUUGGCUACAAUCUGAACAUCCCCUUAAUAUUGCCUCUUCCCAUUCAGUUCCUGUCGGUAAUAACAAAUCUGCACAUUGAUAAACAGUUCUCCAGUAAGGAAGGCUGGAAGAAAAUAGGAAUGAACAUGGUAUGAUUUCCAUUAUUACUUGAAUCAGCCAAACAGCACAUGCCAUUGUACAGUAAAUAUCUGAUAAAUAGUUAGCUCACACAAUGCCCUCGCUCACUCAAACCAUAUACAUCAAGAUAAAUAGAAACUCGAGCCUCAGUGAUACAGAAUCAUGAACUGUAGCAAAGCUAUAUACACUCUCAGAACCAGAACAGCACACUUGCAAACAAAGCCAUGAAAUUCGCUCCCCUACGUAAGUUUUGGUGACCCUUCCAAUUUUGGUGGGGUCAUGAGGCUUUUUGUCAGCCAUAUCGCCGUCUCUCUGGACGACACAGCACCUUCCCCAAACGGUCUGAGAACGCCAGCAAGCUCCUCAAGCCUCUCCUGCUUCAGCAGCUUGGCGCAAAGCUCGAGUAGCGACUCCAGUGCGUCAGCUCUCUGCUGCACUAUGUUCAGAUGGUCCCACUCGGCAGGAGUGCUAUCUGAAUGUGCCAAUUUCACCGCGCUCUUCGGUGAUGAUUCUUCUGUAACGAUGGGAACGUCUCCUGUGCCUGGUUUUGAUCCUUGGUGAGUGUGUGCUUUCACUUCCUUUCUCUGCUCUUGCACUACUCCAAUGGUCAGUUCCUCCUUUGGUAUUGGUGCCUCAUUAGGCUUCUGAAUUGCACCAGAGACUGGCACGACAUCUACUGUGCUGCUGGUUCUUACAGCUUUAAGAAAGAUGGCCUCAUCAAUCUGUCGAUCGGUUAUUGUCAUCAAAUUUUCCUCUAUCUGUUGAAAAAGCGUCAAAUCAUCGAUGUUUUGAUAUGCUUUGUUUCUAGCUUGAGGAUCCACAGAUACUUGUGAAAUGCAGGCGUCCUGGGUACCAACUGUUGAAACAUCUGAAAUAUAUGUGGAGUUGUCUCUUGUAUCCACAGCUUGCUCUGCAGCGGUUUCUAAUGCUUCACUGGAUCCAUUGGUUUUGAUGAUUCGCUUUCUGCCACUGCCUGGUUUUCUUGACUGCUGCUUGUCUCCCAGGUUACUUUUGGUGGGCUUCACUGGAAGGUAGAUUGGGGAGCAGCUGCAUGAUUCAGCUAGAUAAGGCUGCAAAUAUGGGUGCCUCAAUAGUUCUCCAGCCUGUAAAUUUUUCAGUUUAACUUUGAAUGUGAAGUGUUCUGUCGGUGCCUUUGAUUGAAACAGUGAAACUGAGUUUGUGGUACUUACAGUGGGUCUAUGUUCUGGGUUUUUCCUUAGCAUGCUCUUCACUAUCUGCUUCCUGCCAAACAAAGCAUCAUGUUUAGCAUAAAUUCUGAUAUAUAUUAUGGGAAAAUCAUUAAAAAGUUAAUAAUAUUGGCACUCACAGUGAUGAUGAAUAUAUCGGUGGCAUUGGAGAUAUUGAAGAUCUGUUUAUUUUGUUAAUUAAUGAUGCCAUGUCCUUAAAAAACAAGAGGGGAUAUUUCAUGAACCAUGUUAUACGUAAACAGUAAUUUAUCGUUUGAAUUGUGUAGUAGGACUUACUGCAGCUUUGAAUGCAGGGCGGUGUGCUAAGAUCUCAAACAUACAGCAUCCUGAUGGUAAAAGAUGGGAAAGGAUUAGCAUCAUAACAGAAACCGUGAAAAUUACUCCAAAAGCUGUUGUACUGGGAACUCACCAAGUGACCAUAUAUCAGAUUUGUAACCAUAAGGUUUAAGCCAUACCGUCGAUGCAAGGUCCUCCAUGAGCAAUUUUGCUAGCCCAAAAUCAGCUGUUUUCAAGAAACAAUGAAUAUUCAGCACAGGAGCCAAGGGCAUGUUAGGUGAUGCUGAUACCUGAUGAAUCGACUUGUGUGGAUAGGGACAAUGUUCAUUUACCUUGAGGUCACGGUGGAGCACACGGUUGCAGUGCAGAUAGUCAAGGGCCAAGAGCAAUUGUGUGAACCAUCGGCACACCCUCUUUGAUCAUACAAGUACCAAAUCAGCGAGAAAAGGACACCCCUUGCCUUCUUGAUCCUCUCUGCCCUGUGAUUCCGAUGUCAGUGACUUUGGAGGUUGGAGCACCAAUGGAAGGUAAAAAUUUUAGGAGGCAGUGAAGAGUGAAAAAUGUGAGAGGUUCUUACAUGUCACCUCCUUCACAGUAACUUGUCACAAUGCAUGCCGAGGUCCCCUGCAACCAUCAUCGAAGAAGAGAAAAAAGGACAAAACUUUAGAACCCUUGAUUCGAAGGAAUGCAAAUUACUCCCAGAACUGAAUUAAUGCGUGGAAUUUGUACUUCAUCAACCCAACCGUCCUUGUACUCGACGAUGUACGGGUUGCUGAGGCUCGCCAUCAGGGACAUCUGUGCAGCAAACAGCAAGCAAAGCAUCAAAAUCAAAUCAUCAAACCAAACCAUCUGUCCCGUCCUCCCAAACAUUCAAUCAGGGUUUUGCAGACGCAACAGCAAACAACUCAUGGGUGCAACAUGUUUGCUCAAGUGUGGGGAAUGAACAAGAACUAACGAGGGUUUCGAUCUGGUUUACCUCCUGGUACGCCGUGCGCUGGAACUUGUCGUUCUGCUUGGACAGCCGGAUCUUCUUCAUCACGUACCUGCACCAUCAUCGAGCCAAGAAAGAACAGAAGCAUCAGGGAAGCCUGAAGAAGACGAAGGAAGAAGAGGAAAGGGGAGCAGAGGAAGGAGGAGAACCUCUUGCGCUCGCCCUUGUGGACGACGAGGUAUGCGGAGCCGUAGGCGCCCCGGCCGAUCUGCUCCACCACCUCGUACUGCUCCAUGGCUCUGGCUCUGGCUCUGGCUCUGCUCCCAGGCCUGGAGGACUCAACUGUCCAUGCCGCUACCUCUACCUAGAAACAAACAGGGUUUGAUUUCUCGUCUGGUAGCUGGUGGCCAUGGCUCGAGGUUAUCCACCGAUGAUUAUGCAUGCCCUACUCCCACUGGAGAUGGGCCCUGCAAGAGGUGGGGUGUGAGGUAGCGCUCUGCGAAAGAGGAGAAAAUAAAAAAAAACGAUAUGGUUUUGGUUUGGCCAUUGCUUUCGCCAAUGUAGAAAGAGACCAGCGAACUGCCUGUAGACUUCGCAGUAGAGUAGCCGUGUAGGAAAGAUAUGUGUAUUUGGGGGGCGUUCCGUAUAUAUCAUCAAGACCGUGCUUAGGCUGUACUAGCACAUUUAAUUCAUGCACGUAUCAAUCCAGGAAAAUAAAUUGUUGCAAGUAUGCGUAGCUAUUGCCUUCAUGGCUUUCAUGCAUGUUUGUUGCAGUCUACUAGACAGGGGCCUUUCCUCUGCCAGUGUGUUAAUAUGUCUGGUUCUGAAUGAUGGUGAUAUGCAAUUUUGCUGUGUUGGGCUCGAGCUAUAGCCAAUGCAAUGAAAAGGCCUAGUUACCAGUUACCACACCUGAUUGGAUCAGAUCAGAUCAGCCAAAAUCUCGUUUCAGCAAGAAAAGGUUAAUUAGUUAAAACUAGCUGUAUAUAAAUUAUAUACACACACCCAAGGUUGGUCUGCAUUCUAAAGUGACAUACACAAUGUAUAUUGCUACACAGCUUACAGAUUUUAGACCUAUUAGCUCGAUCGAACGACCCCUGGGAUUAGGAUGCAUGGGGAAUGAUUUGAUCCUACAUUAUCAAGAAUGAGUAGUCUGGGUUCGGAUGCCAGCGUGCGACAAUGAAGAAACGGGUGGCCCUUGUUACGAUUACUUUGAACAUAACUCGUCCGCUAUGGAGCAGUUAUUAAUAAUGGUUACAUAGAGAUGAAUAGGGCUAUGUGGAAAUUGCAGACGCUGCUUAAAAUCAUGAUUUUUGAUGCAGUAUUUACAUAAAGGCGUUGUUUUUACUAAAGAUAAUCUAGCUAGAGACGGAACUGGAACCCGAGUAAACGUCGUUGCAUAAUUUUCUUAUUGAAAUUAUGCUAAAUUUUUGUGGAGAGUGGUCCAAAUUGUAAUAGUAUUUCUCAUAUGUUUGAAGAUUGGUUGGUUGGAGUGGAUUCUAAGCUAAAAAGCUUUUUCUAUUCCUUUGUUUUUUCA